UGGCCGCCUGCGCCGUCCCGCUGCCGCCGCCCUCCCGCUGAGCGGCGCUCGCGGCCCGGCCGGGAAGGCGGCCCCGGCCCCGCCUCUUCCCCCGCGGCCCAGCGGAACCGGGGCGGGCGGCGGGGCGGCGAUGAGCACCAAGCAGGUGACCUGCAGGUACUACCUGCAAGGAGUGUGUCGGGAGGGAAACAAGUGCCUGUUCUCGCAUGAUUUGGCCACGAGCAAGUCAUCUACUAUCUGCAAGUAUUACCAGAAGGGACAGUGUGCCUACGGAGCGCGGUGCAGAUAUGAUCACACCAGACUUCCUGCGUCAGGGGGUGCAGCAGCUCCUGUGCCACCUCCCCUUACAUCGGCAGCGCUGCACAGCCCUCGCCAUCCUCCUGAGUCCAACGCACCGGUAAUCAAGAGCAAGCUGCGUGAGACUGGCAAACGGGAAAAGAAAACACUAGUGCUCCGGGACAGAAAUCUGAGUGGCUUGAAUGAAGAAAGGCAGAAGCCCAGUGCCACAAGUGAUGUGGUGUGUUGCAGUGACAAAAAUGAUAACGUAGAAAUGAAGCCCCAUUCGUAUCUGGAAGCUAUUUGCAGUGGACUGGAAGAUCCUGCAGCUGGAAGUUCCUGUGCUGAUGGAGAGCAGUGGUGUCCUUAUGCUGCAGCAGGAGCGUGUCACUUCGGAGAUCGCUGCCUUUACCUGCAUGGAGACGUGUGUGAGAUUUGUGGAUUGCAAGUACUUCAUCCUUUUGACCAAGAACAGAGGAAGGCUCACGAGAUGAUGUGCAUGGCAACAUUUGAGCAUGACAUGGAGAAGGCCUUUGCCUUUCAGGCAAGUCAGGACAAAGUGUGUAGUAUCUGCAUGGAAGUGGUAUAUGAAAAGCCAUCAGCCUCUGAGAGGAGGUUUGGGAUCCUUUCCAACUGCAAUCACACGUACUGUUUGUCCUGCAUCCGGCAGUGGAGAUGUGCCAAGCAGUUCGAGAAUCCCAUCAUAAAGUCUUGUCCAGAGUGCCGUGUGAUAUCAGAGUUUGUCAUCCCCAGUGCGUAUUGGGUAGAAGACCAGGAGAAGAAGAAUGAGCUGAUUGAAGCAUUUAAGCAGGGAGUGGGAAAAAAACCCUGCAAGUACUUUGAACAAGGGAAAGGAACCUGUCCAUUUGGAGGAAAGUGUCUUUACCUUCAUGCCUAUCCAGAUGGGACACGAGCUGAACCUGAAAAACCAAGGAAACAGCUCAGCUCUGAGGGGACUGUGAGGUUCUUCAAUUCCGUUCGUCUGUGGGACUUUAUUGAAGACAGAGAAAGUAGGACUGUGACCAGCACAGAUGAUCAAGUAACAGAACUUGGAGAACUUUUCAUGCACCUUUCUGGGGCUGAUGAGGAUUCUGCUACUUCUCAAUAAAGGCAACUAAAGCUUUCAAAAUCUAACGCUACACCUAAUACUGGUUCAAAAUAAUCCUCUUGCUUUUAUCAAGAAUGUUUUUUAGUUUUUCCAGAGAUACAUAACCUGUUUUUAAAAAUUAGGAGUUAAUGGUUCCUCUUUUGGAAUUCAGUGCUAAGUCUUGUUUGCAGAUACCCAUUUCCAGCAAAACUCCCCCGACUUGAAGUGGCAGAUGGCCUGGAGCAAUCAAAGAGCACCAAAACGCAUUAUCUUUCCUCAAAUGCCAAGUCGAGCCAUCUUUGCUGUAAAAAAUACCAAUUUAUCAGCAGAUUUAAAUCAAUCCAGAAACACUGCCGAAGAAACAUCCAUCUCUUCUGUGUAUGGGAAAAAUAAGGCUCAAGUGCAUCUAUUAAAAAAAUAGUAAUAGACCUCUUGAUUUAUAGUCUGUUAACUAUCCCAGUAAAAGAAACUGUAGAAAAAGGCAAUGUGGAGCUGUGUCCCUGCAGGAUAAGAACUGCAGACAUCCGUAGCAGCUUGCUCUUAAAACUGGGAUGCGGAUAAUCCUGCUGGCACUGAUCCUGUACACCGAGGCAUUAAAAGCACAACUUCUG